AAUUCAAAUGAGCUGUAUGACCAGCUGUGUUAGCUUGGACUCUCCUAGACACAGAUUCCAAGAAAGAAGUUUGCCUGGGAAAUAAUCCUAGGAAAUAACUGUUUGAGAAGAGGAAAGUGAGGAAAGAAAAGAUAAUGUUCCAGUCCCCAUCUGGAUCCCGGCCUGAAACAUCAGAGUUGCCUGUGAUGCAGCUGACUCCAGAGGUAUCGGCCUCAGAGAUGGUGACAAAACCAAAAACCCAACCACAGAGAAGGGAGCCCAACACUGCAAGCCCUGGAACCAGCCAGUCCCACCUACACAACAGAUGAGAGACUUGACCAUCAAUGACCGUCCAAAUGGAGGAGGGCCAGAACGUUCCAGAUACAAGACUUAAAACAAAACAAAACAAAACAAAAAAACCCAGUUACAUCAUAUAUGAACUGAAGUUCCCAGAAAAAAAGUCAUACCUGUGUUGAAGAUUCCAGAAGGCUGAUUGACUGGUUGAUUAGAACAUCUGUGGUUCUGGAGAGCUGGAAUGUUAUAGAUCCUGAGUCAAGUUACCCUGGGAUAUCUUCAUCUCUCUUGAUAGUGUUCAUUGCCCACUUCUGUGUCUGACCUAACAUUCUUGUGACUCACACCAAAUGACAUCUGAGGCUUAAAGCGGAGGCCUCCCUCUGCUUUGCUGUGUCCCCCUGCCUGGUGUUUCCACCACUGUGUUUUAAAGAUGCCUUUAUUAACGACUUUAUUUGUUCUAUCACUCUGAACAUUUCAUGAAAUCAUAUCGCAUUGGAACACAGUAUUUGUGAUAACCUAAAUCUGUGUUCCUAGGCCACUCAUAUAUGGUUCUAGAAUAAACUCUCUUUUUCUCUUUGA